CUUCUUGUUGCCAGGCAUAAUUAACUGGAAAGUUAGCCGCUUCGUUGGGCUUCAUGUUCUAUCAUGUUCUAUCAUGUUAAAUUGUGUCCGCUGCUUUGUGCGAGAGAAACCCUAGUUUUUAAAAGGUCGAAUUCAAGGAUUUUCUUGGUUCUCAAGAAAUGGAAUCCAGUAACAUAUUUUCAUUUUCUUUCAGCAUCUUCUCUUUCUGGGUUCAGAUUGUUAUAUUCUCAAAGAGAGAUGCAGAGUACCCUUUAUGUCUAGGUGGUUUGGCUUCCAAACUGUGUUUUAUGAUGUGACGCCAUCCGAUCUCAGCUGUUGAUUCAAGGGAGUGUAUGCAUUCAAUCAGUCAUGGUGCAGAGUGUAUAAGGUUUUCUUCGAGAACUUUAUCAAAUAGUUAACUGGUUUACCUCUCUCACUCAAUUUCAAGUGAAUGAGAGGAAGCAUAUCUGAAAGAUUUAGCCUUGAAAAAAUACUUCUAAUUUCAAAAGAGAAAUGUCUUGUUGAAUUCAACAGUGAACGAAAUCACAUCUUCAUUGACAUUCUAUGUUUUGGAACUGGAAGGAUGUGGGAGCAAUCGUAAUGAAACACUCAUUAUACAGUUCAAACCCUACAAGAUAAGUGUCUUGUAGAACUGUAAAGUGAGCAAAUUUAUUCAUGGAUAUUGCAUGUUUUUUAAAAUAAGCAUAUUUAAUCUUCAUGGAUAUUGCUUGUUUUAUAAAACAGAUGGGAUCUUCAUGGAUAUUGCAUGCUUUUUUAAAGAACCAGUCUGGUUAUAAGAAAAAAUCAUGGAUAUUGCAUGUUUUUUAAUCUAGGAAUGAAGAGCACAAUCAUUGUGUACACUUCACACCACAAAUGUUGUGUAUGUCUAGGAGCGAGUAACAACAGAGCUUCCUGGACACUGUAGGUUAUUUGAAUGAGUGGAAAAAACUGUAAAUAUGAUUGUAAUGAGAUGUGAGGAAGCAUGCCUUUUUUCCUCUCCUCCAUGUAACGGAGGAAGUUUUCUGUAGCAUUUCUUUAUUCCUCUAUUCCACAUAAUGCAUUUUGAUUCAAUGGAUGUUUGAAGAGAUUGUGGCAGAACAAUGUACAGAUGUUGUUUUCAAAUUGAUUCAAUGUAGCUGAGCGCUGUAGUUGCAGUAAGUAGUUCAGAAUUUCCUUGUGCCCCUCAAGGAAGCUUGCGAAUUUGUACUUGGAAGUACAUUCUGGUAUAACACCUAGAAAUACUUUGAAUUGGAUAUUUUAUCAAAUGUUGUUGCUUACUAGUAAGUCCAUCUAUUAUUGGUAUACUGCUUGUGCUAUUAUAGGUUAUCAUGUAUCAUGUAUCAUGUGGGGCAUGUUCUCUCGGAGCUUUUGAUUGGCAACUGGAUGCAGUGAUUCAUAAAAUUCGUGGAUAUUCCAUUGAAAAGUCUCAUUAACUUGAUGUUUUUUUUAAAUUUGAAGGAAACUCCUUUAAUAUGAGUAAAUCUAUGCUCAUAUGGUCCCUUCGAUGUAUCAAAUCUUGUAAAUUUAGACACAGAUGCCAGUUAUAGAGCACAUCCGAGUUGCCUGGAGAGAAUUAUUUUUGAAGAAUUUACCCAAAUAGCAUAAUAUAAUCAGCGCCGAAGAGUUGAAGAAUUCUAAUAUCUGCAUUAUUCAGCAGGCUAUGGAGCUAUAUAAACUUGCAUUUAUAGAUGACAGGUAUUAAAUGCUAUUAAUUAUAUUUGUAAAUUUAAAGAAAAUUAUUUCUUCCCCUUGUUGAGCAUGAGCCUCGCUAUUCACCCUUUGCUUAGAACCAGCCAAGACUGACUAUAAUUAUAAAUUUAAGUGAUCUACUUUAUGUAAUGUAUUAUGCUUCAAUGCUUUUGUAAAUUUGAAUUAUUCGGUUGUCUUUUUUUAGUUUAAUAGAGCAAGAGUAUUGUAAAGUUCACACUGUUAACUGGGAUUACAGUGUGACUGUAAGAUUGAGAAGGAACCAAUUUCCUCCGUUGGCAUGAGUCUGGUUGUUGACUCUUUUCUUAAAAUUCACCAAACCUGACAAUAGUUAGUAUUUCAAGUGGUAUUUUUCCAGUAAUGUAUUUGGCUUUAGUGUUCCUAUUAUUGUCAAUUUUGUUUUUUUAAUAGUCA